CCUACGGGAGGCAGCAGUGGGGAAUAUUGGACAAUGGGGGCAACCCUGAUCCAGCCAUGCCGCGUGUGUGAAGAAGGCCCUCGGGUUGUAAAGCACUUUCAGUGAGGAAGAACGCCUGGUGGUUAAUACCCAUCAGGAAAGACAUCACUCACAGAAGAAGCACCGGCUAACUCCGUGCCAGCAGCCGCGGUAAUACGGAGGGUGCGAGCGUUAAUCGGAAUUACUGGGCGUAAAGCGCGCGUAGGUGGCUUGAUAAGCCGGUUGUGAAAGCCCCGGGCUCAACCUGGGAACGGCAUCCGGAACUGUCAAGCUAGAGUGCAGGAGAGGAAGGUAGAAUUCCCGGUGUAGCGGUGAAAUGCGUAGAGAUCGGGAGGAAUACCAGUGGCGAAGGCGGCCUUCUGGACUGACGCUGACACUGAGGUGCGAAAGCGUGGGUAGCAAACAGGAUUAGAUACCCCGGUAGUC
rnacentral:rRNA from 1 species